rnacentral:rRNA from 1 species
UUGACCUCGGAUCAGGUAGGGAUACCCGCUGAACUUAAGCAUAUCAAUAAGCGGAGGAAAAGAAACCAACAGGGAUUGCCUCAGUAACGGCGAGUGAAGCGGCAAGAGCUCAAAUUUGAAAGCUGGCCCCUUCGGGGUCCGCAUUGUAAUUUGCAGAGGAUGCUUCGGGAGCGGCCCCCAUCUAAGUGCCCUGGAACGGGCCGUCAUAGAGGGUGAGAAUCCCGUCUGGGAUGGGGUGCCCGCGCCCGUGUGAAGCUCCUUCGACGAGUCGAGUUGUUUGGGAAUGCAGCUCUAAAUGGGUGGUAAAUUUCAUCUAAAGCUAAAUACUGGCCGGAGACCGAUAGCGCACAAGUAGAGUGAUCGAAAGAUGAAAAGCACUUUGAAAAGAGAGUUAAACAGCACGUGAAAUUGUUGAAAGGGAAGCGCUUGCGACCAGACUCGCUCGCGGGGUUCAGCCGGCCUUCGGGCCGGUGUACUUCCCCGCGGGCGGGCCAGCGUCGGUUUGGGCGGCCGGUCAAAGGCCCUCGGAAUGUAACGCCCCCCGGGGCGUCUUAUAGCCGAGGGUGCCAUGCGGCCAGCCCGGACCGAGGAACGCGCUUCGGCUCGGACGC